rnacentral:lncRNA from 1 species
AUGUCCCCAAGGUCUGGGUGUCCCCAAGGUCUUGGUGUCCCCAAGGUCUGGGUGUCCCCAGGUGUGUCUGUCCCUCGCCGUGCGCGUCCCCAGGGCCGUGCGGCCGCGCAGGGGACGGAGCCACCGUCCCUUCCCAAGGUGACAUUCCCCCCGCAGCUCCCGAGCUCGGCGGUGACGUCUGGCGGCCCCCCCGGCCCCCCUCGCUCGCCCGUCACUGUCACCGUCACCUCGCCGGGGCCCCUGUGGCCACGCACGUGCCUUGCACGCUUGUUCACCACCACGCGUGCGCCUCCGCUUGCACGCGCGCGUGCGUGCUCGUGCAUCCUCCUUGCACGGGGGGGGGGGGCUCGGUGGGGACAUGGGGACCCAGUGGCUUUGUCCCCAGGUUUUGUCCCCACGUUUUGGGGACCUGGUGGCCAGGGUGGUGGCAGGGCCCCCCCUGCAGUCCCAGCUCUGGGGACAUUGGGGACGGUUCCUCCCCAUCCAGGCGAUGUCCCCUCCUGGGGACCAUCCUGUCACCCCCCUCCCAGGCUCCCGCAGGACCCCCCCCAUCCCCUGGUGACUGUCCCCAGUGCCACCCCCGCGUGCUGGGGUUGGGGACAGGGGACACGGCGUCCCCCUCCCUCGGUGGCUUUGGUGUCACUGCGUGGUGGCACGGAGGGACAGCAGCACCUGGCGGUGGCCUUUGGGGACAGUCGGGAGCCCCCCCCCCCCGAAGCCACAUGUCCCUGGGUGGCGAUGGGGACAGAAAGGGGACAAGGGGACAGGAAGGGGACGUGGGGACGGGGCUGCCCUGUGCCACCUUGCACAGAGCCGGCAGCGCUUGCACGAGUGCGUGUGACCUUGUGCAGCCUUGCACAAGGAUUGGGGACCUUGCACGAGGACAAGGGACCUGAGGGACCUUGCACGAGGAUUUGGGACCUUGCACAGGGAUUUGGGAUCUUGCACAAGGAUGGGGGACCUUGCACGAGGGUUGGGGACAUUGCACGAGGACGAGGGACCUAA